rnacentral:rRNA from 1 species
AACGAACGCUGGCGGCAUGCCUAACACAUGCAAGUCGAACGAGACCUUCGGGUCUAGUGGCGCACGGGUGCGUAACGCGUGGGAACCUGCCCUUAGGUUCGGAAUAACUCCCCGAAAGGGGUGCUAAUACCGGAUAAUGUCUUCGGACCAAAGAUUUAUCGCCUUUGGAUGGGCCCGCGUUGGAUUAGCUAGUUGGUAGGGUAAAAGCCUACCAAGGCGACGAUCCAUAGCUAGUCUGAGAGGAUGAUCAGCCACACUGGGACUGAGACACGGCCCAGACUCCUACGGGAGGCAGCAGUGGGGAAUAUUGGACAAUGGGCGAAAGCCUGAUCCAGCAAUGCCGCGUGAGUGAUGAAGGCCUUAGGGUUGUAAAGCUCUUUUACCCGGGAUGAUAAUGACAGUACCGGGAGAACAAGCUCCGGCUAACUCCGUG